rnacentral:rRNA from 1 species
GAUGAACGCUGGCGGCGUGCUUAACACAUGCAAGUCGAACGAGAAUCUGUGGAUCGAGGAUUCGUCCAAGUGAAGCAGAGGACAGUGGCGGACGGGUGAGUAACGCGUGAGGAACCUGCCUUUCAGAGGGGGACAACAGUUGGAAACGACUGCUAAUACCGCAUGACGCAUGACCGGGGCAUCCCGGGCAUGUCAAAGAUUUUAUCGCUGGAAGAUGGCCUCGCGUCUGAUUAGCUAGAUGGUGGGGUAACGGCCCACCAUGGCGACGAUCAGUAGCCGGACUGAGAGGUUGACCGGCCACAUUGGGACUGAGAUACGGCCCAGACUCCUACGGGAGGCAGCAGUGGGGAAUAUUGGGCAAUGGACGCAAGUCUGACCCAGCAACGCCGCGUGAAGGAAGAAGGCUUUCGGGUUGUAAACUUCUUUUGUCAGGGAAGAGUAGAAGACGGUACCUGACGAAUAAGCCACGGCUAACUACGUGCCAGCAG